rnacentral:ribozyme from 1 species
AACUCCCUGUACUCUGCAACAGGUUAUGGUCGGAAACCUCCUGAAGCUCACACUCUCAGGUCAGGUUUUCCUACUCAACUCCUAUUCCGCAACUUCCUCGUCGUGCAGUGAUAACGUGUACCACCGUAUAUUUAAACUUGAGUAAAUUUGCUAACUCCAAACCCUUGAGCGGAUGGUGGUACACGGCAAACCGGGUAAGG